AAUUUAUUAUGUGAAGUAAAUUAGGGGAGUUUAGAAACAUCAAUAUCAACAGUGACUACUAAUUAAUUUAGUUGUUGUCAGUUACUCUUAAUAAGAUGUAUCUGUUUUAUUGCUAAUGUGUGUAUUUAUGAGUGCAAAUGUCAGUCAGAAUGUGUCUUGGGUCAUGUAAUGUGUGCUGAGGAAUGUUAAUUAUUUUUAGUUUUGCUUUAUUGUUCUGUUUAGAUUGGUCAACUGUAAUCUCACUGGUCAGUGCUGCAAAAGUUUGUCUUCAGUUCUACAAUCAUCAGACUCCCAUCUGGGAGAGCUGGACCUGAGUAACAAUGACCUGCAGGAUUCAGGAGUGAAGCUGCUCUCUGAAGGACUGAAGAGUCCAAACUGUCAUCUGGAGAUUCUGAGGUUGUCUGGCUGUAUGCUGACAGAGGAAGGCUGUGGUUAUGUGUCUUCAGCUUUGACUUCAAACCCCUCACACCUAAGAGAGCUGGAUCUGAGCUACAAUCAUCCUGGAGAUUCAGGAGUGAAGCUGCUCUCUGAAAAACUAGAGGACUCAACUUGCUCACUGGACAAACUGAAGAUUGAUCAUGCAGGAGAGUUCAGGAUUACAGCAGGCCUACAUAAAUGUAUGUCUAUGCACACACACAAACCCACACACAGGAUCUGUCCUGGCUCAUUGAGUUUCUUGUAUAUAUUUUCAGUUGAACCUGUCGAUACGG